CAACAUUCAGUAAGCGCAACGUCUUUCUUAACUGGGAUCUGUGCAACAGACUGGUUCUUGCCCUUGCGUUAUUCAAAAUGAUGAAAGGCGAGCGUCUUGGAACGAGUUAAUUGGCAAAACUUAAUUAAAAACAAAUUGAGAAAUUCAAUUAUAAGAGAUCCGAACGUUGUUAUUCAAUAUCGAGAAUGAGAUUCGUUGGAGUUUUUAUUUUAUUUAUGGCUGUUUUCUGUGUACAAUCACAGGUUCCAUAUGACUAUCCACCCAUAGGACGAGAGGCAAGGAGAGAUGCGUUGAAACCUCAUCCAUCUGAUGUAAACCUUAUUUAUGAGAGGUUGUUCCCUUCACGACGCAAAUAUGCAGAUUAAAGUUAUUUUGCUUUUA